CUCGGGCGUCGGACUCGGGCGUCGGACUCGCGGUCGGCGCGACUUACCCGUGUGCACGAGGUGGUGCUUCUGCAGGCCAGAUACUUACGGAUCUUCUGCAGCAUCUGCUCGCCCGUGACCGGAUGGUUGAGCCUCUCGGCAAACUCCCGGCAGUACCAUACCAGCAGCUCCUGGUUGGCGUCGAUCUCCUUGAUGGUGUAAAAGGUCAAGUUGUUCGCUGCGGCUCGUAGGGAGACGCUUGAUCGGCAACGAGGCGGCCGCUGGCGAAGCACUUUCGUCGCCACCCGAAAACCCAACGGAGCUCCAGGAACUUUGGCCAUCGACGACUUUGCCGAGCGGCGUCCAGAGAAAGAGAGAGAGAAAGAGAGAGAGAGAGAGAGAAAAGCGGACGACUCUCGAUCUGGCCGCGCCGCGUGAAUACUCGCGGAUCGUCGUCACUUUCUUCGAGAGGCCGCGUAAUAGACUCUUGGCCCGGGCUGGCCAGAUUUUCGGCUGGCCGGCGCGGUGAGAGGUCGAUGGCUUCGCCGAUGUCAUUGCACUCUUUCUCUGCCGCCGAGUCCUCUUGGGACGUUUUGCAUCCCCAUUUCUCGGCCAGAGCAAGAGAGUCGGAGAAACAGCAGGAGAAAGAAGGAGAAAGAGAGAGAGAGAGAGAGAGAAGAGAAAUGAGGAUCGGCAGGCGGCGAUGGAGGUUACUUCGGGCCAUCGUUCCACAUCCUCUUGUAAACUCGCUCUCGCUGCUGCUCGCGCUCGCUCGCGCUUCAUGGCCGGCGCAACGGAAAGUCAACGAGCAAGAUGUCAACUUAUCACCAAUAUCACACGAUGACACAGCAACAAUUUUUGGUCCCAUUUUGUGCAAGCCUAAAAUGGCAUCUUUUAAUUCAGUGGCUGUAUCAACUUUUUUUCCAAGCUUUGACCAGCUCAGCUAUUCUUCUGAGAAAUGAAGCAGAUCGAGAGUAUCCGGUAAGCAAAUGUGUAUAAUCAUCUAAAUCAUUCUCUGCUAAUCCAUCCACCAGUUGGCCUGCAAAGUUUUAUUC